AUUGAACGCUGGCGGCAUGCCUUACACAUGCAAGUCGAACGGCAGCACGGGAGCAAUCCUGGUGGCGAGUGGCGAACGGGUGAGUAAAGUAUCGGAACGUGCCCAGUCGUGGGGGAUAACGUAGCGAAAGUUACGCUAAUACCGCAUACGAUCUAUGGAUGAAAGCGGGGGAACGCAAGACCACGCGCGAUUGGAGCGGCCGAUACCAGAUUAGGUAGUAGGGGGGGUAAAGGCUCACCAAGCCGACGAUCUGUAGCUGGUCUGAGAGGUUGACCAGCCACACUGGGACUGAGACACGGCCCAGACUCCUACGGGAGGCAGCAGUGGGGAAUUUUGGACAAUGGGCGAAAGCCUGAUCCAGCCAUGCCGCGUGCAGGAUGAAGGCCUUCGGGUUGUAAACUGCUUUUGUACGGAACGAAAAGGUUUGGCCUAAUAAGCUGAGCUCAUGACGGUACCGUAAGAAUAAGCACCGGCUAACUACGUGCCAGCCGCCGCGGUAA
rnacentral:rRNA from 1 species